AUAUCACCUGCGUCUCCUGGGCGUCGGGCGGGGUCGCCUCUCGUGUGCAGUGUCUCCCCUCCUCUGGGUUAGCGAACGAUCCGCUCGUCCUCUCAGUCCACCGCAUCGAUCGAUCCCCCUCGUGAUCUCUCUUGGAUUAGCGUAACCGCUGCCCAAAGGCGGGAGGCGGAGGUGAAGGCCCGCACGUGCGUCAAUGACCUUGCGCGCUACAUCGAGUUUCUGCGGGAGGAGCAGGAGCGCCUCGUCGAGCACACAAAGAGCCUUACCGCAGCCGUGGCCGCAGCACACGCCGACACAGAAGCGAGGAAUCAGGAGAUCUACGAGCAGUCCUGCCGCUUCGAGAUGGGUCAUCUGGAGCGGCAGAGGGCGUUCGAGGUGAGCGUCGCUGAAGGUGUAGCAGCGGCAGGCACCGUAUUGCAGUUGUCUAGCUCGUCGGUAGGCUCCUCUUCCUUCUUCUCUUACUGAGCACACUCGGCAGAGGAGAGGCUGCCAGAAAUAGUACAAAGCCCCUCCGUAGUAGUAGUAUUUAGGGGCUAUUUUGUUCAGUUCAUCUGACUAUAGAUGUGGUGGAACUGUACAACCUCCUUAAAAUUAGCUAGUAUAUAUAUAGUUGAAUUAGCUAUUUCAGUACGUGGUUGGCAACAAUUGGGAAAAUGUUUGGUCGGUUCAGCUGUCGAGUCGAACUGUUUAUAUAAAGAACAACUGCUUAAUUUAUGAAUGAAAUCUAUU
rnacentral:rRNA from 1 species